rnacentral:rRNA from 1 species
UACGAAGGGUGCAAACGUUGCUCGGAAUUAUUGGGGCGUAAAGCGCACGUAGGCGGCUUAGCAAGUUGGAUGUGAAAGCCCUCGGCUUAACCAAGGAAGUGCAUCCAAAACUGCUGAGCUUGAGUAGUUAAGAGGAUCGCGGAAUUCCCGGUGUAGAGGUGAAAUUCGUAGAUAUCGGGAGGAACACCAGUGGCGAAGGCGGCGAUCUGGGAACAUACUGACGCUGAGGUGCGAAAGCGUGGGGAGCAAACAGG